GACGAACGCUGGCGGCGUGCCUAAUACAUGCAAGUUGAGCGAUGAAGAUUGGUGCUUGCACCAAUUUGAAGAGCAGCGAACGGGUGAGUAACGCGUGGGGAAUCUGCCUUUGAGCGGGGGACAACAUUUGGAAACGAAUGCUAAUACCGCAUAACAACUUUAAACAUAAGUUUUAAGUUUGAAAGAUGCAAUUGCAUCACUCAAAGAUGAUCCCGCGUUGUAUUAGCUAGUUGGUGAGGUAAAGGCUCACCAAGGCGAUGAUACAUAGCCGACCUGAGAGGGUGGUCGGCCAGAUUGGGACUGAGACACGGCCCAAACUCCUACGGGAGGCAGCAGUAGGGAAUCUUCGGCAAUGGACGAAAGUCUGACCGAGCAACGCCGAGGGAGUGAAGAAGGUUUUCGGAUCGUAAAACUCUGUUGGUAGAGAAGAACGUUGGUGAGAGUGGAAAGCUCAUCAAGUGACGGUAACUACCCAGAAAGGGACGGCUAACUACGUG
rnacentral:rRNA from 1 species